rnacentral:rRNA from 1 species
UAAGGAAUAUUGCUCAAUGGGAGAAAUCCUGAAGCAGCAACGCCGCGUGGAGGAUGAAGGGUCUAUGACUUGUAAACUCCUGUAAAGAAGGAAAAAAUUUCCAUUUGAUGGGAGAUGAUGGUACUUCUGGAGUAAGCCCCGGCUAACUACGUGCCAGCAGCCGCGGUAAUACGUAGGGGGCAAGCGUUGUCCGGAUUUCCUGGGUGUAAAGGGUGCUCAGGCGGAUUUGUAAGUCAGAGGUGAAAUCUUACAGCUUAACUGUGAAACUGCCUUUGAUACAGCAAGCCUAGAGUAUGGAAGAGAGAGAUGGAAUAUCUGGUGUAGCAGUGAAAUGCGUAGAUAUCAGAUAGAACACCAAUGGCGAAGGCAGUCACUUGGUCCAUUACUGACGCUAAAGCACGAAAGCGUGGGUAGCAAACA